GGUUUCUGGUUGGGGUACAUGGUAAUGCGUUUGCAGGUGGUGACACGUUCUAUGGUGGUGGAAAUAUGGUUCAGUACAGAUGAGGCGUACUGAUCCAAGUCUGUAUGGUGGAAAAUAGUCCAAUCUGUAUUCCUGAACCGGUCCUGGAGCACAGCGUCUGAGCCCUCUGGCCACACCUUUACUGUCCUCACGGUAGGUUUCACAUGUUGGAUGAGUGGUAAGUACUGAGGUGUGAGGAACAGGGAGAGAUGGUCUGAUUGGCCGAUGUUGGAGAGGGGUGUCACAUUGUAGGCUCCAGCCAGAUUGGAGUAGACAUGGUCCAGGGUCUUGUCUCCUCUGGUGUGGCAGGAGACAUGUUGGUGGAAUCUGGGAAGAACUGUCUUCAAUUUGGAGUGAUUGAAAUCACCUGCAACAAUAAAAGCAGCCUCGGGGUAUUUGGUUUGGUGUUUGCUAAUAGCCGCAUAGAGUUCUUUCAUGGCUAGCUUGGCAUUGGCAUCCGGGGGGGGGGGGAGGGGUGUACACGGCAGUGAGGAUGAUCGAGGUGAAUCCCCUUGGGAGGUAAUAAGGUCUGUAUUUGACCAUUAAAAAAUCCACAUUCUGUGAGCAGUGACUCUCGGUAGUAGCAGAGUCUGUGCACCAAGCUUUGUUAAUAUAAAUGCACAAACCUCCGCCUCUGGUCUUGCCGGAGUCACCUGCUGUCCUGACGGCUCGGUGUGUGUGGCGUCCACUUAGCUGGAUAGCAUUAUCCGGGCAGCUGUUGUUUAGCCAUGUUUCGGUGAAAAACAUGACAUUUGAGUCCAUAAUCCGUCUGUCACUCGUGAUGGAUAGUCGUAACUCGUCCAUUUUAUUAGCCAGAGAAUGGACAUUGGCGAGGAAAAUGCUGGGUAAAGGGAGCCGAUGUGGUGUUAGCUUUAGCCUAGCUCGCACCCCUCCACGCUUACCCCGCCUUUGUUUACGUUCUCGUCGCGGCCUGAGUACCCUUCCACCCGGCCGGGAGAAGUGAGCAGUCUCCGGUGUUCUGGAGAUCUCUGGGAUGAGUCGGAGAUCGGCGAUCAUAGAGUCAAAAUUGUAGCUCCAAAGGUCCAGAAGUUCGUGUCUGCUGUAGUGCAGCAACGCUGUGCAAUUCCGAAAAAAAAGUCCAACAUGUCUCCUGC